rnacentral:rRNA from 1 species
GGGCUAAUGCAGGAUAACAUGUUGAACCGCAUGGUUCUACAGUGAAAGGCGGCUUUGCUGUCACUUAUAGAUGGACCCGCGCCGUAUUAGCUAGUUGGUGAGGUAACGGCUCACCAAGGCAACGAUACGUAGCCGACCCGAGAGGGUGAUCGGCCACACUGGAACUGAGACACGGUCCAG